rnacentral:misc_RNA from 1 species
AAGUCGUAACAAGGUUUCCGUAGGUGAACCUGCGGAAGGAUCAUUAUCGAGUUAUUGAACGGGUUGUAGCUGGCCUUUCACGAGGCAUGUGCACACCUGGCUCAUCCACUCUCAACCUCUGUGCACCAUAUGUAAGAAAUGGUGGAAGCCAGCUUUAAUCGGUUGGUAGAAGCCUUUCUUAUGUUUUAUUACAAACGCUUCAGUUAUAGAAUGUUUACUGUGUAUAACACAUUUAUAUACAACUUUCAGCAACGGAUCUCUUGGCUCUC